UUGAUUGUGGCUCAUAGGUAGAGCGCUUGUCUAGCAUGCAUGAGUUACUGGGUUCGAUCCUCAGCACCAUGAAA
rnacentral:tRNA from 1 species